GUGAUGGGCUGGACUAUGCAAGGUGAUGUCACCGGGCGGUAUCCAAUCCUUCCGUAUGGCGCGGGUUCGAUUCCCGCCCCGUCGCA
rnacentral:tRNA from 1 species